CUGACAACACGUCAUUGGGUUCCACGAGGGGGGGGGGGGGGGAAUGCAGGGUCCUGCCCGUUGCGGAAGUAGGUAAGGAGACCGGGGACCUCGGCUUCCCCGGGCUGGUCCAGCAGCUGGGGACAGGCUGCUGUCUGUCCUUCCGCCCAGGUCUCCCCAGGAGGCCCCAGGCAUUCAGCACCCAAGGUGGCAUCCAUGUCUGGCACCCCACGUCCCCAGCGGGAGGACCAAUGGCGGCUGCCCAUUUGGAGGCUCCUACGGAUGUCACCCAGCAUGGAGAGGACAUCUUGAGUGGGCACCACCCCUGGGAGGAGAAAGGCCCCCAUCAGCACGGCCAUGGCCCCUGCGGCCCCUCCGGGGGUCCCUAGACCUAGACCCCCUCUGGGACCACUGGCCUGAGCCCCUUCAACCCCACUUUUGGGCUGUAAUGACACCCAGAUCCUCGGGGCGCAUAGGCGCAAGCGCGCACCACCAGCGCCUGCGGAAAGGGGCGCGCCCUCUCUGCGUCCUCGGCUCCCUGUCCGUCCAGCUGACCGGGUGGGUGACCAGGUUGCUCCAGUCCUUGCAGAUGACCUGGACCAGGAGACGGAAAGAGGGUGGCCGCAGUCAGGAGGGGUCCCCGGGGACAGAGACCUGACACCCUGUGGGAAGCUGGAAGACGCCGGCCCCUGCGGGUCUGCGGAGCCAAGUGGGACGGGCGACCUCUACAAGUUUUUCUGCAGGGUCGCAUGGGGCUGGCGUGGAGGAGUGUGCAGACCUGAGAUGAGGAACAGACCAGCCACCGGGAGGCCUCCAGAUGGCGACAUGGCUCAGAUUCAAGGAGUGACAGUGACUCUCCUCAGGAGACCUGGGGCAGCCCACGGAGAUGAGCAGACACAGGGCGGCAGCCGGGCUUCCGAGCGCCCCCCGCGGCCUCAGGAGGAAGGACGAGGCGCAGACCCGGGAGGGAAACUGCUUUAUAGUCCUUCCACACGGGGUCCACGUGGCGACAGGUCUCAGUGGGAGAGGGCGAUGAGACCCCACCUUACACCGUGCGCCAUAGUCAGUUACGGUGGAUUAGAGAAAGAAGGAAGGCAGGAGUGCAUAUUUCAGUGACGCAAAGACUAGUCAUAAAGCAAAGAAAAACAGGCAAAAAUGUUUAGAAACAUCUAGAAAGAAAGACACUGUCAAGUUUAAAAGAUAAGCGUGUCAAAUAUUACCCAUGAUGCAAAUGAAAGUAGUUGGCCGGGCGCAGUGGUGCAGGCCUGUCAUCCCAGCAUCCCGGGAGGCUGAGGCAGGAGGAUCGCCAGGUGGAGGCCAGC